CUCCGUAGGUGAACCUGCGGAGGGAUCAUUACACAAAUAUGAAGGCGGGCUGGAACCUCUCGGGGUUACAGCCUUGCUGAAUUAUUCACCCUUGUCUUUUGCGUACUUCUUGUUUCCUUGGUGGGUUCGCCCACCACUAGGACAAACAUAAACCUUUUGUAAUUGCAAUCAGCGUCAGUAACAAAUUAAUAAUUACAACUUUCAACAACGGAUCUCUUGGUUCUGGCAUCGAUGAAGAACGCAGCGAAAUGCGAUAAGUAGUGUGAAUUGCAGAAUUCAGUGAAUCAUCGAAUCUUUGAACGCACAUUGCGCCCUUUGGUAUUCCAAAGGGCAUGCCUGUUCGAGCGUCAUUUGUACCCUCAAGCUUUACUUGGUGUUGGGCGUCUUGUCUCUAGCUUUGCUGGAGACUCGCCUUAAAGUAAUUGGCAGCCGGCCUACUGGUUUCGGAGCGCAGCACAAGUCGCACUCUCUAUCAGCAAAGGUCUAGCAUCCAUUAAGCCUUUUUUUCAACUUUUGACCUCGGAUCAGGUAGGGAUACCCGCUGAACUUAAGCAUAU
rnacentral:rRNA from 1 species